CCUACGGGAGGCAGCAGUGAGGAAUAUUGGUCAAUGGGCGAGAGCCUGAACCAGCCAAGUCGCGUGAAGGAUGACGGCCCUACGGGUUGUAAACUUCUUUUGUCAGGGAGAAAUUGGGUCCACGCGUGGGCUUAGCGAGAGUAACUGAAGAAAAAGCAUCGGCUAACUCCGUGCCAGCAGCCGCGGUAAUACGGAGGAUGCGAGCGUUAUCCGGAUUUAUUGGGUUUAAAGGGUGCGUAGGCGGAAUAUCAAGUCAGCGGUAAAAAUUCGGGGCUCAACCCCGUCGUGCCGUUGAAACUGAUGUUCUUGAGUGGGCGAGAGGUAUGCGGAAUGCGUGGUGUAGCGGUAAAAUGCAUAGAUAUCACGAAGAACUCCGAUUGCGAAGGCAGCAUACCGGCGCCCAACUGACGCUGAAGCACGAAAGCGUGGGUAGCGAACAGGAUUAGAUACCCGGGUAGUC
rnacentral:rRNA from 1 species